CCUUAGCUCAACUGGAUAGAGCACCAGACUUCGAAUCUGGGGGUUGCAGGUUCGAGUCCUGCAGG
rnacentral:tRNA from 1 species